UUUUCGUAGGUGAACCUGCGGAAGGAUCAUUAGUGAAUUCUGGGAGUCCCUCUUAACCGGAGAAGGCCCAAUCCACUAUCUUUCACACCCUAGUGCAUUUGUCCCCUUUUUACACACCCUUUGCAUUUGAACAAGUCCCAUGAAAUCUUUUGAUAAAUGAAAGAAAAACUUUCAGCAAUGGAUCUCUUGGCUUCCGCAUCGAUGAAGAACGCAGC
rnacentral:misc_RNA from 1 species